AUGGGGAGGGUGGUGGAGGAGACUUGUAGUAGUAAGGUGGCUCUGUCUUCACAGGUGGUGGAGGGGACUUGUAGUAAUAUGGAGGUGGUGGAGAGGGAGAUGGUGGAGGAGGUGACUUGUAGUAAUAUGGAGGUGGUGGAGGAGGCGACUUGUAGUAAUAUGGAGGUGGUGGUGAGGGAGAUGGUGGAGGC